AAACAGAACUAUAACUUCUUGGAGAACAGGAAAAGAUCCAGAAAACAUGCCCAACUGAACUUUAGCUUCUGUAAAGACCAUUGGCCCACUUACUAAGGAUACAAUUUGCUGCUGUAUUUUUAUCAGAUGCAAUCUACCCUGCUAUUUUCAUUUUAGGUAAGUUUGAGUCUCCUUACUCUAUAUAGUCUGAUGGUCUAACUCAAUGAACUUCCCA